rnacentral:rRNA from 1 species
UACGUAGGGCGCAAGCGUUGUCCGGAAUUAUUGGGCGUAAAGGGCGUGUAGGCGGUCCGGUACGUCCGCUGUGAAAGUCGGGGGCUCAACCCUCGAAUGCCGGUGGAUACUGUCGGGCUAGAGUGCGGAAGAGGAGAGUGGAAUUCCUGGUGUAGCGGUGAAAUGCGCAGAUAUCAGGAGGAACACCUAUUGCGAAGGCAGCUCGCUGGGACGUAACUGACGCUGAGACGCGAAAGCGUGGGGAGCAAACAGG